AUAACGACUCCCGGCAACGGAUAUCUCGGCUCUCGCAUCGAUGAAGAACGUAGCGAAAUGCGAUACUUGGUGUGAAUUGCAGAAUCCCGUGAACCAUCGAGUCUUUGAACGCAAGUUGCGCCCUAAGCCUUCUGGCCGAGGGCACGUCUGCCUGGG
rnacentral:rRNA from 2 species